UUCAUAUCUUUAUACUUUAAUAUAAUUUUAAGACGCAACAACACAACGCUCUCUGACGGGACAUGGAUGUACGAUUUUAAUGGAUGAAAAUAAAUAUGACUGCGUCCGUAGUCAGAGCAUAUAUUCAAUCUAGUUUAUCAAGGCAAGUAUCAGAAGUAGUAUGGCGAGAACAAAAUAUAAAUCAUACUUUACAAACCUUGAAUGUAUUACAUAUUCAACGGCAAUAUUAUCAUAUUACUCUAGCUUCUUUUAAACGAAGAAAUAAUCGAGAAAAAACUAUGAUAUUUAAUGAAGAAAUGUUAAAUAAUUUUUCAAAUGAACAAUUUAAAAGAAAGUCAUUGCCAGUAGUAGAUGUAUGGGAAAAUAUGACAGUUAAAGAAUUAGCAAAGUCUGCUAAAAGGAAUAUUAACGAUAUUUUAGAUGUACUUUAUAUUGUAAGUGAUAAAGAUAUUUAUAAUAGAAAUAGUAUUUUAUCAGAUGGACAAUUAAUAUCUAGCAUAAUUAAAAAACUUGGAGCAAAAUCUAAAAUUAUUUCAAAGCAAACUUCAAAUAAAAAUACAAAGUAUAAAGACAUUACAAGAAGACCUCUACCAGAUAAGUCUCAAUUAGUGAGACGACAUCCAGUGGUAACAAUAAUGGGGCAUGUUGAUCAUGGUAAAACUACCUUACUUGAUGCAUUACGACAUACGUCUGUUGCACAGUCUGAAUUUGGUGGAAUUACACAAUGCAUUGGCGCCUUUGAUGUAACUUUGGAUUCUGGAGAACGAGUAACAUUUUUGGAUACACCUGGCCAUGCUGCUUUUACCUCUAUGCGAUAUAGAGGGGCAUAUGCAACAGAUAUUGUAGUAUUAGUAGUAGCAGCUGAUGAUGGUGUCAAAGAACAAACCUUACAGAGUAUAGAAAUGGCAAAAAAUGCCAAAGUUCCAGUUAUUGUGGCUAUCAACAAAAUUGAUAAACCUAACAUUGAUAUUAAAAGGACACAACAUGAACUUGCAGAUCAUGGAAUUGUAGUUGAAGAACUUGGUGGUGAGGUACAAUGUGUGAAAAUAUCUGCUUUAAAGGGAACUAAUUUACAAGAAUUAACAGAAGCUAUAGUUGUACAAGCGGAAUUAAUGGAUUUGAAAGGGGAUCCUGCAGGCUUAGUAGAAGGUGUUGUUAUUGAGUGUAGUAAUCAUGUUGGUCGUGGAAAAUUAGUGACGGCUUUAAUUCAGCGUGGUACUUUAAAGAAAGGAUGUUUGUUAGUCUCUGGACUAGCAUGGGUUAAAGUAAGAGCUAUGUUUAAUGAUUCCGGCCACCCUAUUUUGGAAGCUAAACCAUCGGACGCGAUACAAAUCAUUGGAUGGAAAGAAUUACCUGAUGUUGGAGAUGAAAUGCUAGAAGUAGAAAAUGAUAAAAUAUUGCAAGAAGUUCUAAAAUUUAGAGAGAAAAAGCGCAAUGAAACUUUAGCUAAACAACAUAAAGCUGUUGCUGACCAAAGGCUACAAGAACAUCUCAUUGAUUAUCGAAAGCUGUUAGAAAUUAGAAGAACAUUUGGAAGAGAUAGAACAGUAAUGAGAAAGGUGAGGGAAAAAGUGGCUGAAAAAGAAAAAAAUAAACGUAUAAUAGAGGAUCCUACUCCAACAGUUAAUAUUAUUAUAAAAGGUGAUGUAGCAGGAAGUGUCGAGGCAUUAUUAGAUAUUUUUGACUCAUAUAAAUGUGAUAAAAUAUGCAAACUAAACAUUGUUCACUAUGGUGUUGGAUCCAUCACAAGCUCGGACAUAGAAUUAGCGGGUACAUUUAAAGCAAUUAUUUAUGGGUUUAAUGUAAAGGCAAUUAAAACAGUAGAAGAAGAGGCCACUGCAAAAGGCAUAGCUCUUCGACUGUAUAACGUUGUAUAUAAACUUAUCGAUAAUGUUAAGGCAGAAAUUAUUAGUUUACUACCUGAAGUCAAUAUCGAAGAAAUAACAGGUGAAGCAACAAUAUUACAAAAAUUUGAUAUAAAUGAAAAAAAUAAGAAAGUAAGCGUUGCAGGUUGCCGUUGCGUUAAAGGCGUUCUUUUAAAAUCUGGACUGUAUCGUAUAGUAAGAGGAAAUGAAAAUAUUUUUACAGGAAGAUUGGUAUCAAUGAGGCAUUUAAAGGAUGAAAUGUCGUCGAUAGAAACUAAUCUCGAAUGUGGUCUCAGAUUUGAAGAUCCAACAAUAUCAUUCCAACCUGGAGAUAAUAUUAUUUGUGUCAUAAUAAAAAGUGAGAAACAAAAGCUUGAUUGGGAUCCUGGAUUUUAAUUGGAUAUUGUUGUAUUUAGAAAAUUACAGAAUAGUAUAUAGACAAUAUAAAAUAAAAAAAUACAAAUGACAAAUCACUGACCUGUCUUCUGUUUUAUUAAUGGCAUAUUAAAUUAUUUAUAUAAAAUGGAUUUUUACAAAAUAAACAAAAAGAUAUAAUUGUGUUAACACCGUUAAGAAGCAUAAGUUUCUCGAAGUCGACGUUGAAUAUGGUGAUACGCAGUCAUAACACCACGUUUCUUUUUCUGUAAACGACACAAUGCUGGUUCUUGGUUGGCUUGUGCGAUUUUUGUAUCUAAAGGCUCGAUAAGAGUAUUAGUAU